GGAGUCGGCCAGGCGAUCGCUGCCGCAUCGCGGUGGAGGAAAGUCCGGACUCCGUAGGGCAGAGAGCCAGGUAACGCCUGGGCGGCGCGAGCCGACGGAAAGUGCCACAGAAAACAGACCGCCUAAGCCCGAUCGGGCCGGCAAGGGUGAAAAGGUGCGGUAAGAGCGCACCGCGCCCCUGGCAACAGGGGUGGCAGGGUAAACCCCUCUCGGAGCAAGACCAAAUAGGGAAGCGUGCCUCUGGCAGCCUGUGGCCCGCAGGUGCUUCCGGGUAGGUCGCACGAGGCGUCCGGCGACGGGCGUCCCAGAUGAAUGAUCGUCCUCGACAGAAUCCGGCUUAUCGGCCGGCUCCCCUC
rnacentral:RNase_P_RNA from 2 species